GCCAGUUUGAUUGGUAGAGCAUCUGCCUUGUAAGCACUUGGCCGCGGGUUCGAUUCCCGCCCGGGGCG
rfam:Asian citrus Psyllid, Diaphorina citri - Florida Strain, whole genome shotgun sequence.